AGCUCCAAUAGCGUAUAUUAAAGUUGUUGCAGUUAAAAAGCUCGUAGUUGGAGUUCAGAGUGAGCUCAGCCGGUCGGCCUCAUGGGUCAGAACUGGUCGACUCUCUCUUGUUUGUGGAUCCCGUCCGGAGUUAACUCUUCGGAAUGUGGAGUUCACAUCGUUUACCUUGAAAAAAUUAGAGUGUUCAAAGCAGGCGUUUGCUUGAAUAUAUUAGCAUGGAAUAAUGGAAUAGGACCCUGGUUCUAUUUUGUUGGUUUUGAGAACCAGAGUAAUGAUUAAUAGGGAUAGUUGGGGGCAUUCAUAUUUCAUUGUCAGAGGUGAAAUUCUUGGAUUUAUGAAAGAUGAACUUCUGCGAAAGCAUUUGCCAAGGAUGUUUUCA
rnacentral:rRNA from 1 species